GCAUAAUUUUAGGGUUAUAUAUAUAGGUACAUAGCAAUGUCCAAUUAGAUGUUGAUAGUCGAUUAUACUGAUUAUAGUAUUAAAAAUUUAUAAAUAUAAUUAUUUUACGUACUAUUAUGUAAAAUAUGUGUAGGUAUUUACGUAAGCGGUGAAAUCGCUGUAUAAUGGGAAUAAAUGGUAACAAAUAGGAGGUAGGUUGUAGCCUGUAGGUGCCUCCUUGUGCCUAUAGUUAUAUCGCAGUAAAUACGAUUUUUACAAAAUGAUUAAUUUUGGCAUAUUUUACCUCGAACACGUGUGUGCUCAAACCACACGACGUGUAUGUUGUACUUGUGCAGUUAUAUGUUGUAUAUUUAAUAUCAUUAUUAUUUGUUCAUUCAAAACACAGUUGUUACUAGCACGAUUUCAGCAGCAGUCACACUCACAUAAUAUAGGUAUAAUACUAUAAUGGAUAGCACCUAGAUACCUACGCGCUCGCAUAAAUAAUACAACACCUAUAUAUGUUCCAUACAGAGUGAUUGUUUCAACUGUACCUAAAUAUAUUAUAUAAUAAAAUAUUUAAUGUCAUUUUUGAAAAUUAAUUUUAGCUAUUUUAUUAACAUUUAUUGUUCAAUUCUUAUUUUUUUCUGAUUGACGUAGAUUUUUAAAUUAGAUUCACAAGCCGAAUAUUAUGUUGAAAAUUAUAAUGUAGAUACAAAUACAAAUUUAAUUUCUAACGAAUGGUUGUUAGGUAGGUAAUUAGUUAUAUGGAGGAAUGUGGCGAAUGUAUUAAGUUUAGUUUCAGAUAAAUGGAGUGAAGUAGCAUACUAGCAUAUACUGGCAGUGUGUCCCCAUAAAAUUGUUAGGAUACACGGCAGUGCUAUUAUAGGUGUUAAAUUUUUUUGUUUAUGAUCGAGUCCGAUGCGUACCUAUAAUAUCAAAGCUGUAUAAUAAUUAAUAAUUUUAUAUUAUUAUAGUAUACAGUCAUAUACUCAUAUAGCAUAUUUCGUACCAGUGGCGUAGCCAGGAUUUUUUUUAGGGUUUUUUUUCGUAAUAAAAUAAAAUAAAUCUAAAACCGUGGUAAAAUAAUAAAAUAAUUGAAUGAUAAAGAUUAUUAUCACCAGUGUAGUCGACAACGUGAAUACGGCAUAACAGAAUACAUUUUACCACGAACCGAAUGAUUGUAUUCCUGUAUUGUAAACAUUAUAUUUUUGGUAAAAAAUACGGCCGAAGGGGGGAGGUGGUUAACCCCCCCGGCUACGCCACUGUUUCGAACAAAAAACCUGAACAUCUGCUAUUACUAUUCUAAAUAGAAUGAAAAUCUCGUUGGAAUGCGACGGACUGCACGCGACGACGUCAUAAUGUCUCUUAAAUAUAACAUGUUGUAUUAAUUUAUCAUAAUGAUAUACAUAUUCAUCACGAUAUAUUUAUGUUCUUUUCUAGGGAGCGCACGUACUUAUGAUAUAACUAUGACAUCAUUGUUGUGUCGGCAUGACGAAAAAUGGGAUGGGCGAGCUCCUAUAACAGUCAUCGUCGUCGGUUUAAGAUGUGACUGACACAAAAUCUUAAUUUGUUGCAGACGACCACGUCAUGUCAUCAUACCUGAAAAUGAAAAUCGUCAGGGAAUCGAGGAAAAAUCCCUACAAUACGACCAACUGUGUAUACAGCGAAUUCGCCGUUCACAACCAGCUAUUAAACAAAAAAAACAGCUCCAAUAAGAGAAUCGUAUAAAUAAGAAAUAUAUUGCUAAGGACUGUUUAAAUCGAGAUAAUAGUUUUGAAAAAAAGAGGUGGAUCCAUGGCCCGACCUUAACAUGGACCUCAGCGCCACUGAAUUUUCAUCUAAAGAACUAGAUAUAUAAUUUAAAUCAUGUAAAUUAUUAGACCAUUUAGUAGGUAAGACGAUUGAACAUCGCCUUGCACUUUCUACAUACUACAUACCUAACCUAACCAAACAAACAGCUGUUUGUAUAGAACCACGUGACCCAUCUGUUGACCGACGGCUGUUCGCUGGACGAUAUGACCAAAUACGUUUGCGGACUCGGAUAGACGAUCUUGAAUCUUGAUAGUCAUUCCGACCAACCUGGAGUUAGGGGCGGAAAUAAUAUUAACAUUUUCACGGUGUCGCGGUAGGCCAGUACGAGCUUGAUUAUAAUGAGGAUUUACUCUGUCUCAUACGCCAUCAAACGAUUCAACGUAAACCAUAUAUACUAUAUUAUGUUAUUAACAGACAUAUUUUGGACGACGGUUUUGACCAAAUAUUAAGUAGGUAUUACAGGUCUGAAGUUCAUUGUAUCUUGUAUCCAGGGGAGAUAAUAAACUUCGGUAAAAUUACACCUUUUCUAAAAGUUGAUAUGUAAACUGCAACAAAAAAAAUAUAACAUUAUACAAUCUGUGACAAAACCAAUAAGAUACAUUAUACAAACUCCGGCCAUUUAUUUUAUAUGCUUACCUACUAUAUUAUUAUAUAUUAUUAUAUAGCGCAUGUUUUAUUUGAGCACAUUCCCAUGUUUUAUAAUCAAUUAUUUUUUUUUAUUCAUAUUUAAAUUUAAAUUUAAAAUUGGUUAACACUAUUAAUUGUUUGCUAUUCUGCCUAAAUAUUGUUGUAAGUUCCUUAUUAAAUUAAAUAUUAUAAGCGACACAACAUUUCUUAAACUAUUUCUUCUAUUGAUAUCCACGGAUGUGCAGUGGCGAUGGCGUCGACGUUAAUUUCAAAUCAUGUUGCAAAAUUAUGCAUUUUUAUAUACACACCCACACACCUACCACCUAAAUUUGUUAUAUAGAUCUACGUCCCACAUAUAUAUCAUCUUCAUAUAUUUUUUAAUAAUGAUAUUUAUUAAUGAUAGUUAGAUGGACACAAGCUAUAAUUGUUGACCUUGGAUUGCAUGGUAUUGUUUUAGAUUUUGGAGAGUUAAGCCAUUUAUAUAAGUUUAAUGUAUUCAUUUAUUUAUGAUAGUUUGAAUUCACAAAUACUUUAUUUAGACACUAUGUAUUAUUUUUAAAACCAACAUUAAAAAUAAGCUUACGGGAACCACCACCCAUCCAAAGCAUUUGUUGCGCCGUUGCGGUCGCAUCACUUGGAUGUAGGGUUCGGCGCCACUGCUGAUAUCUAACACUAGUAAAUCGUAUAAACUAAAUAGUAUAAAUAUUACGUUAAAACUUCAAAAUAAAUUUGGAUUUUCCUUACCAAUUUGUAUCCAACAUAACACAAUUAAUUAAACGAUUUGUGUAUAUAAUUUAACAUAUUAUAGAUUAUAGGUAUAUGAUGUAUGUAUAAACUUAUACUUUAUAAUAUGUAUUAUCAUAUCGGUAUGCACAUUGCAUAAUAGUAGCUAUAUAUAUUAUGUAUAAUAUAAAAUCAAUUGCAGCAGUUUUUAUAAUGUAUCUUAUCGGUUUUGCCGCAGUUUACAUAUCGACUUUUAGAAAAGGUGUAAUUUUGCCGCAGCUUACAUACGGCCAUAUCCAGUUGUAACUAUUUUGUUUGCUGUCACCGGUGAUGAACUGGUGCCCUAUACAAACAAUUUAUUUUUAUAAAUCUAUAAUAAUAUAAUGGUGAAGCCCAGUACCGUAGCCAGGGGGGGAGGGUGGGGCUUCCAGGGCUCAAGCCCCUCCCAAAUAUCACACGACAAUAAUUUUAUUACUUUAAUUACCGUUUGUGGUGAUAAAGCAACGCUGCUCUUAUCACACUUACUUGAUUUUGAUUUGAUAAUAUGUAUAAUUAUAUGAAUUUUAUUGUUAGAAAUACAGUGCAAACUUAAUAUUUUGUUGUCAUAAUAAUUUGCUAUCAAAAAUUAAGCCCGUCAAAGAAAAAUCCUGGCUACAGAACUGGUGAAGCCGGUGAAGGCUGAAGAAUCUCAGUCUCCACUUAUAACCUUUCGGUCACAAAUUGAUUUUAGGCACUCUUAUUUUUCAACAAUUAACAGCAGUGAAAAAUCCGAUGAUUACGUUCGAUAACGUUCUUGUAUGUCAAGAUUUAACGACCAACGCGCAACAUCAACAAUAUAUGAGUACCCCGGACAUAACAUUAUUGAAUCAGAUUUAUAAUAUUACAGUUCGGCUGUUCAGCAUUAUAAAUUAGUGUAAUGUAGAAUAAUAUUAUAAACCCUGAAAACAACUGAACGCAAUUGGUCUAUCUAUCCAAAAAAGACAGAGCGCAAUUGGUAUAUUAAAAGGUCAUUUUAAACGCAAUUGGUAAACUCCCAUCCUG